AUGUGGAAUGCCUAAGACAACAGAAACCACUGACGCUCCGAGCUCUUCCAAAGAACUUGAGAAAGCUCGAUAUUGUAUAUUACACCAGUUGCCAACAACGAAGGGUGUCACCACGAAUCCUUGUCACCAUUGUACUAAACAUUUAUUAGAAAGAAUCCCAUGACAACAAUCCAAUUUUGCAGAAAUAUACC